CCUACGGGGUGCAGCAGUGGGGGAUAUUGCACAAUGGGGGAAACCCUGAUGCAGCGACGCCGCGUGUGGGAAGACGGUCUUCUGGAUUGUAAACCACUGUCCCCAGGGACGAAAAUGACGGUACCUGGGGAGGAAGCUCCGGCUAACUACGUGCCAGCAGCCGCGGUAAUACGUAGGGAGCAAGCGUUGUCCGGAAUUACUGGGUGUAAAGGGAGCGUAGGCGGGGAUGCAAGUUGGGUGUCAAAACUACCGGCUCAACCGAUAGUCGCACUCAAAACUGCAGCUCUUGAGUGAAGUAGAGGCAGGCGGAAUGCCUGGUGUAGCGGUGAAAUGCGUAGAUAUUAGGAGGAACACCAGUGGCGAAGGCGGCCUGCUGGGCUUUUACUGACGCUGAGGCUCGAAAGUGUGGGGAGCAAACAGGAUUAGAUACCCUAGUAGUC
rnacentral:rRNA from 1 species